rnacentral:rRNA from 1 species
UCAGCCGCCGCGGUAACACCGGCGGCCCGAGUGGUGAUCGUGAUUAUUGGGUCUAAAGGGUCCGUAGCCGGUUCGGUCAGUCCUCCGGGAAAUCUGAUAGCUCAACUAUUAGGCUUUCGGGGGAUACUGCCAGACUUGGAACCGGGAGAGGUAAGAGGUACUACAGGGGUAGGAGUGAAAUCUUGUAAUCCCUGUGGGACCACCUGUGGCGAAGGCGUCUUACCAGAACGGGUUCGACGGUGAGGGACGAAAGCUGGGGGCACGAACCGGAUUAGAUACCCGGGUAGUCCCAGCCGUAAACGAUGCUCGCUAGGUGUCAGGCAUGGCGCGACCGUGUCUGGUGCCGCAGGGAAGCCGUGAAGCGAGCCACCUGGGAAGUACGGCCGCAAGGCUGAAACUUAAAGGAAUUGGCGGGGGAGCACAACAACGGGUGGAGCCCUGCGGUUUAAUUGGACUCAACGCCGGACAACUCACCGGGGGCGACAGCAAUAUGUAGGCCAAGCUGAAGACUUUGUCUGAAUCGCUGAGUAGAGGUGCAUGG